UAUCCCCGCAAUUAUGUCAUUGAGAGAAUCGUUGGAGUUGAUGCUCUGGGUGACGAAAAUUCAAGGCUUCAACAUACCACAGUCAAUCUUUUUAAGCGAAAGAAAAGGACGCAGACAUUUCGUUACCUAUGCUAUACAGAAUGACUAAACCGCGCUCAUGACGGCUCCCAUUAGAUGCCUUUCUCGUUCGGUGAAAACAAAGCAACACAACAAUAACCAACCCCUGAACAAGCAUGAGGAAUCAGAGCCAAAGACUCUAUUGUUUAAAAAAAUAAAAAUAAUCACCCACUAAAGGUGAAGUCCACAAGCGGCAGAUCCUCGUCCAAUCAUCUUCGCCAGAGGAGUCGCAUAGUUGGGACGGGAUCUUGGGUUGGGCGUGGUGGUGGUGGUUGAGGCCCUCCAGUCUGUCUGUCCCUUGUGAGGCUCAAGCGGUGAUUAAUCCACUGAUCGCCCACGAACUGGGUGCUUUACUCAUCAUCAUCAUCCUCAUUCUCAGCGCAAAUGCCAACGCCAAACGUUGUGAAGAAUGGGGUGGAGUCGUCCUCCCCCGAAUCGACUACCAGCAGAGUAGUCGGCUUAGCAGGAGCAAAAGCUUUAGUUUCUGUUGUCCUUUCUACUUGACUAUGGCUCCAAAGUCAGAGUCCCCUCCCACAAAAAUAUCGUGGCAACAACGCGAUUUUCAAGCCUAACGACAAAUUUAUCCUCAAGUGGAAAUCAAAAACUGGACAGAAUUCGUGCACUCGGAGGUUGCAUUGGGAAUAACCGAUCAUUUGGCAGCAAAUAGCGAUCCGGAAUCGCCAGGUUGAAAUGAGCUACUAUGGAGGGCAAUGUGAUUCAGAUCUCAAUAAAGCUUGUCAACUUUGAAUUCGUGAUAAGCAUGACUUGAUCUAUGGAAUAAGUUUACAAGCUUUCAUCUCUGUAACCAUUGCAGCGAGAACAGCUCUCACUUUUUACGUUUCCAGGACAUUCGUCCGUUUCAUGGUGUUGCCGGUAAUCCUGUGAGGGUUAUUUGUCGCAUUGUCACGGUUAUGGGCGCUGACCACAAGUCAGCUAGCUCAUAUGUCAAGAGGGAGGAGGACAAGGGCAGUGGAAUUUCGAUUAAUUGUAGUGUAUUUGAAAUAUAAGAAAGAAAAGAAAAGGAGAAAGAAAGAAAGAGAGAUAUAUGCCACCCCGCUGGAAAAUAUACCACUGUAAACAUCCCUUCCCUUUUAUAGUCAA
rnacentral:sRNA from 1 species